UUCUGUAUUGUCAUUUUCUUGAUCAUUCUCAACAGAUCUACUCAUAUUCAAGUUAUUACUGUUUGAUUAUAGAUUAUAGAAUCGAUAAUUUUCUAUUCAAAUUUCAAUUGAUGUCAGUGAUGACAAUCCAAAGGCUUGUUUCUCAAAACAUUCGCAGUGGCCGCCUGAUAUAGCUUUCGCCUUCGCCAGGCUUGAGAGCUGAUGUUGCUUUUAUCUUCCUUGGAUGUCUGAGACCCUUCCAGAUGCUAUCAUUCUUAUCAGAUCUACACAGAUUGGCCGCCCAAGAGCUUUCGCCUUAGCCGGGCUUGAGAGCUAAUGCUGUUUUAUCCUUCCUUGGAUGUCUGAGUCAAUUUCAUGUUUAUUGAUUUUUCUUUGGGACUGUAAACGUUUUCCUUCAGCAUAAAUAUCAUUGCUUUAGGAAUGAAUGAUGUCCCUUACAUACAAAUAUCAUUUUCACUUUGUUAGCAAAUCUUGUUCAAUGUUUUGCUGAUCAUUAUACGAUGAAACAGUUCAUUUUAUUAAAUUAUACGAUGAAACAGUUCAUUUUAUUAAAAUAGUUUUCUUGACUGUUGGUGAUGAUAAAGUUGAAGGCUUGUUUCUCAAUACAUUCACAGUGGCCGCCUAAGAGUUUUCGCCUUAGCCGGGCUUGAGAGCUAAUGCUGCAUUAUCCUUCCUUGGAUGUCUGAAACAGUUUUAUUAUUAUUAUUAUGUAGUUUUUUUGAUGACCAUGUUGAUUUGGAGCGGACUUCUGUUUAGUGUUCGUAUAUUCCUCACAUUGCCAUCACAUAUUGAGCCUCCUGUUGAUUUAAUGAAUGGUUGAGAUUCUUUCUCUCUGGAGAUUGAGUUUCCUGUUCUUCAAGCAGGAGAGCUAUCUCAUAUCCUAUUGCCUUGAGGAGCAGAUUUCUGCCAUUACCUUUUGGGAUUUGCCAUGAGAAUAACAUU